GAAAAGACCUGUUUUGGAAAAGACCCAAAGCACCGGGACCAGCCAUGGCGACUCCCCCAGGGUGAGGCUUGACCAUUGCACUUGGGUCUAGCUGACCCCUGCCACUACCCCAAACUGGGGAUGAGACAUGUAAUUUAUAGUAGCUAGGGAUUGCGUUUGCGCUCUCCUCUC